rnacentral:misc_RNA from 1 species
ACCUACUGUUUAAUUUUGAGGGUUCGUUUUUACGAAUACUCAAAAUUAGCACUUUAAGCAACGGGAUUUAUCCGUUGGCGCUGUGCUUUAGCACUUUGAAAACUGCAUAUAUAUUUAGUGAUAUGACAUCUAAUUUGUAAUAUAUAAAGCUGAUAACUUUUUAAAAUUAUCAAAGUUGAUAGCUUCUAAUCUAUCAAACCUUUUUAACUGGUCAA